AUGCUAUUAUAGAAGAAGAAGUAUGCCCUCCAUUCUGCUGGCAGAAGUGUGAGCAUACCACAAGAUGGAAGCCACGUGUGAAGGCAACAGAGCAAGAAGACAGGAUGAGCCUGGGUCCCUUGAGACUUCCCAGGGCAGAGCCACCCACAUUUAAACAAGCAUGGCAGAAUGAUCUUCUCUCGCUUCUGAAUAUCUGUCAGCACACAUCUGUGCCUGUGUGUACAAAAACUUCACCUCAUGAGAGCCCCAGAUUUGACAGAAUCAAGUUUGCCUCAUUUUUCAAACAGUGUUAACUCAGUUUAAAAAUACUUUUCUCAUUAUGUUAUUGCAAGGGUCUUUUAUUCCAUCUCAUGCUUUCGUCUAUUUUGGAUCUAACAUUUAUUUAAUUAGAAAUCUAUUAUUGGGGAGGGGGCACAAAUAAAAUUUAGCUACCAC
rnacentral:lncRNA from 1 species